rnacentral:rRNA from 1 species
GUGGGGAAUAUUGCACAAUGGGCGAAAGCCUGAUGCAGCAACGCCGCGUGAGGGACGACGGCCUUCGGGUUGUAAACCUCUUUUAGUAGGGAAGAAGCGAAAGUGACGGUACCUGCAGAAAAAGCACCGGCUAACUACGUGCCAGCAGCCGCGGUAAUACGUAGGGUGCAAGCGUUAUCCGGAAUUAUUGGGCGUAAAGAGCUCGUAGGCGGUCUGUCGCGUCUGCUGUGAAAACUGGAGGCUCAACCUCCAGCCUGCAGUGGGUACGGGCAGACUAGAGUGCGGUAGGGGAGAUUGGAAUUCCUGGUGUAGCGGUGGAAUGCGAAGAUAUCAGGAGGAACACCGAUGGCGAAGGCAGAUCUCUGGGCCGUAACUGACGCUGAGGAGCGAAAGCGUGGGGAGCGAACAGGAUUAGAAACCCUAGUAGUCC